GGUCGGUUGCGAACCUCUAGCGCUUCGCCAUGCCGUCGCCGACGUUAAAAGUCUGAGUGGUUGUGCACAUACAUUUUAUAAUAUUUUAUUCGUAUGCGUGACCGUUACGCACCCAACCUUAGACCGUGAUAUUACUGUAGACCGCGGGGUCGACGUUUUUAUUUGCAGUCGCGACGUUGACGGUUUCCGUUCGAAUUUUCUAGUCAAUUUUUCAUCACCGCUAUAUCAUGGAACACAUGUGCGCGUGACAAUAUUACAAUACUGCACUGGUCGUACCUCGAAACAGGUUUACCCAAAACACGUCACAUUUAUUCAAAUACACUUGUUAAGAUGGGCGUUGGACAUUCGAACAGACAAGAUCGUUCGUGUCCUCUAGACGGCGAUG